rnacentral:rRNA from 1 species
AACGAACGCUGGCGGCAGGCCUAACACAUGCAAGUCGAGCGAAGCCUUCGGGCUUAGCGGCGGACGGGUGAGUAACGCGUGGGAACGUGCCCUUUGCUACGGAAUAGCCCCGGGAAACUGGGAGUAAUACCGUAUGUGCCCUUUGGGGGAAAGAUUUAUCGGCAAAGGAUCGGCCCGCGUUGGAUUAGGUAGUUGGUGGGGUAAUGGCCUACCAAGCCGACGAUCCAUAGCUGGUUUGAGAGGAUGAUCAGCCACACUGGGACUGAGACACGGCCCAGACUCCUACGGGAGGCAGCAGUGGGGAAUCUUAGACAAUGGGCGGAAGCCUGAUCUAGCCAUGCCGCGUGAUCGAUGAAGGCCUUAGGGUUGUAAAGAUCUUUCAGGUGGGAAGAUAAUGACUGUACCACCAGAAGAAGCCCCGGCUAACUCCGUGCCAGCAGCCGCGGUAACAC